CACACACACAUAUUUCAAGGUUUCACAAAUAGGAUUUGACAUUUGAAGGAGGCAGUAGAGACAAGUCACAGAGGUGUGUCCUUCUACAGAGAUCCUUUUGCCUCUGAUUACUGUAUCCUAGGAUUAAAGGUGGCACAUAUCGGCACGUGAAGCAUGAAUCAGCUUCUGAGCACUAGGUUUUGUGGGGACAGAAGCCAGGUUGGAUUGUAAUGUGAAAGAUAAAAUUGGUCAGAACGAACAGUCACUCCAGUAAAUCUUCAUAGGAAAAGUUGAGAGUCACUGAAGGAGAGAUGAAAGAGAUGACACUUCGGUUGAACUCUUGUCAUUUCAAAGAUUGGAAUGGUUAAAAAUACAGAUCAUGAGAGAGGAAAUUGUGGAGGUCAGAAAAGUUAAAUGUAUUUGCAGACAACAAGACCGUGGAACUCUACUAGUUAGGGAAGAAUGUGAAAGGUGCAGGAAGCUAAGGAAGAGGGAUCGUCAGUUGAUGGAGAUUUGGGGGUCAGAAGAGGCAACAGGCAGCCCUGAGUUGUGAGCUGCAGACUGGAGGCAUGCAUUGCAGACUCAGAUGAGUCAUUGAGAUCUGGAGACAGUUGGUGCUUUUGACACACAUGUAACUAAUGGCAGGUAAGUGAGGUUGGACAGGGGGAAGUCCAGGGAUAGAUAGAGGCCUUUAAAAAUGAGGACGGAAUUUGGGCUGAAAAAGACAAAGCAUAAUGAACUGUAAGAGAAGACGGUGAGGAGGAAAGAUGGAGGAGCCACAUGCUGGGGGCUUUAAUGAAGCUGCUGCUUUGGAGGGAGAAACAAUGGAGAAAGUCUGGGAUGCAGUAGGGAGAGCAGAAACCUCCAUCCUGAUCCCUAGAUACAUUGUCUUAAGGGGUCAGAAAGGGGCCCAAGUCUAAUGUCUGUAACUUCCAUGAAGAUGAACUGAGAUAUGUGACCUGACACAAGCACACCACCCCCAGUCAAUUAAUAAACAUAAUUUAAAAAUGAAAAGGGCUCAGGGUGUAGCUCAGGCAUAGAGUGAGUUUCUGGAUCAUUUCUUUUAUAUUAGUAAACUGGAACAGACAACCUUCCUUUUCAUGGCAAUAGUUUUGAUGCAGAUCUUACAGAUUACAUUUAAUUACAUUAUUUUCAUUUAGUACUUUUAAAUUCAAGACAGAAAAUAAGAUUACUCAGGUUAGGGCUGUUCAGUGUAGGGCUAAAUGUGUAAUGGCAUGUUGGCUCCAAUUAGCUUAUUGGAAAGAAUUUUCAAAGUUGGGGCAAGCAUGAUUCUAAAUUUGAGACUACUGGAGAGGAAGUCCCAUGAGGGGUGAUAAGGUGAUUCGUCAAUUAAAAUAUAAGUGCAAUGCAAUGAACUAAGUAAUGCUAGGUGAUAGUUUAGACUGAAUGUUGAUGACAAGUGUCUCUGCUGGUGAGUUUUAGAUGAGCUCUGAAUGGCAAGUGGCCGUUCUUCAAUAACCCGAGAGAAAAGCGUUCUAUGCAGAGUAGAGACCUUCAGCAAAAUCUUUAAGGAAAGAUGCACCAGUAUGUGAGGACAGAAGGAGGUGUUAGAGUGGACUGAGUGGAGCCCAGAUGAGGAUGAAGAAGAAGAUGAGCUGCUCUUAGCUGAUGCCAGCACAGGGUAAUGCCAGGAGGCCGAGGCUGGGUGCAGUUCCACAUGAAGAAGAAUACACUGUAGAGCAGUGGGUCGGAGGCCUGGGUCUCAGCUGGGAUGUGUUGGAGACUGUUGUACUUGACCAGACGGUGAUGGUGACUUAGGCAGCGCUUGUUUUAUG
rnacentral:lncRNA from 1 species